CUGGGCUGCUCAGGACUCCCCAGUUCAGCUCUCAAAAUGGGGUUCCCUGCUCAGCUCCUGGGGCUGCUAAUGCUCUGGGUCCCAGGAUCUAGUGGGGAUAUUGUGAUGACCCAGACUCCACUCUCCCUGCCUGUCAUCCUUGGAGAAACAGUCUCAAUCUCUUGCAAGUCUAGCCAGAGCCUUCUACACAGUAAUGGAAACACCUAUUUAUACUGGUUACUGCAGAAGCCUAGCCAGGAACCAAGGAUGUUACUCUAUAAGGUUUCCAAUCGGUACUCUGGCGUCUCAGACAGGUUCAGUGGCAGUGGGUCAGGGACAGAUUUCACACUUAAAAUCAGCAGGGUGGAGGCUGAGGAUGCUGGAGUUUAUUACUGCGCACAAAGUACAUCAUGGUCUCCCACAGUGAUACAGCCCUGA